rnacentral:misc_RNA from 1 species
GUGUUCCCUGCCCUCACGGGUAGAAACGCCCACCCUUGUAUAAUAUAUCUUGUUGCUUUGGCAGGCCGCCCUCGGGCACCGGCUCCGGCUGGAUCGUGCCUGCCAGAGAAAACCAAAACUCUUUUUAUUAAUGUCGUCUGAGUACUAUAUAAUAGUUAAAACUUUCAACAACGGAUCUCUUGGUUCU